rnacentral:rRNA from 1 species
GUUAAGCGACUAAGCGUACACGGUGGAUGCCCUGGCAGUCAGAGGCGAUGAAGGGCGUGCUAAUCUGCGAUAAGCGCCGGUAAGGUGAUAUGAACCGUUAUAACCGGCGAUACCCGAAUGGGGAAACCCAGUGUGACUCGUCACACUAUCAUUAACUGAAUCCAUAGGUUAAUGAGGCGAACCGGGGGAACUGAAACAUCUAAGUACCCCGAGGAAAAGAAAUCAACCGAGAUUCCCCCAGUAGCGGCGAGCGAACGGGGAGGAGCCCAGAGCCUGAAUCAGCAUGUGUGUUAGUGGAAGCGUCUGGAAAGGCGCGCGAUACAGGGUGACAGCCCCGUACACAAAAGCGCAUGUGCUGUGAGCUCGAUGAGUAGGGCGGGACACGUGGUAUCCUGUCUGAAUAUGGGGGGACCAUCCUCCAAGGCUAAAUACUCCUGACUGACCGAUAGUGAACCAGUACCGUGAGGGAAAGGCGAAAAGAACCCCGGCGAGGGGAGUGAAAAAGAACCUGAAACCGUGUACGUACAAGCAGUGGGAGCACAGGUUUACCUGUGUGACUGCGUACCUUUUGUAUAAUGGGUCAGCGACUUAU